GGCGAACGGGUGAGUAACACGUGAGUAACCUGCCUUAGACAUUGGGAUAGCCUCGGGAAACCGGGAUUAAUACCAAAUGAAAUCACAUAUGCACAUGCAUAAAUGAUCAAAGCUCCGGCGGUCUAAGAUGGACUCGCGUCCCAUUAGCUAGUUGGUGAGGUAACGGCCCACCAAGGCGACGAUGGGUAGCCGGCCUGAGAGGGUGAACGGCCACAUUGGAACUGAGAAACGGUCCAAACUCCUACGGGAGGCAGCAGUGGGGAAUAUUGCACAAUGGAGGGAACUCUGAUGCAGCGACGCCGCGUGAACGAAGAAGGCUUUCGAGUCGUAAAGUUCUUUUAUGUGGGAAGAUAAUGACGGUACCAUAAGAAAAAGCCCCGGCUAACUACGUGCCAGCAGCCGCGGUAAUACGUAGGGGGCUAGCGUUGUCCGGAAUCACUGGGCGUAAAGGGUUCGCAGGCGGAAAUGCAAGUCAGGUGUAAAAGGCAGUAGCUUAACUACUGUAAGCAUUUGAAACUGCAUAUCUUGAGAAGAGUAGAGGUAAGUGGAAUUUUUAGUGUAGCGGUGAAAUGCGUAGAUAUUAAAAAGAAUACCGGUGGCGAAGGCGACUUACUGGGCUCAUUCUGACGCUGAGGAACGAAAGCGUGGGUAGCAAACAGGAUUAGAUACCCUGGUAGUCCACGCUGUAAACGAUGAGUGCUAGGUAUCGGAAAAAUUCGGUGCCGCAGUUACACAUUAAGCACUCCGCCUGGGGAUA
rnacentral:rRNA from 1 species